rnacentral:rRNA from 1 species
CGCCUUAUACUCCUACGGGAGGCAGCAGUGGGGAAUAUUGGACAAUGGGCGAAAGCCUGAUCCAGCCAUGCCGCGUGUGUGAAGAAGGUCUUCGGGUUGUAAAGCACUUUAAGUUGGGAGGAAGGGCAUUAACCUAAUACGUUAGUGUCUUGACGUUACCGACAGAAUAAGCACCGGCUAACUCUGUGCCAGCAGCCGCGGUAAUACAGAGGGUGCAAGCGUUAAUCGGAAUUACUGGGCGUAAAGCGCGCGUAGGUGGUUUGUUAAGUUGAAUGUGAAAUCCCCGGGCUCAACCUGGGAACUGCAUCCAAAACUGGCUAGCUAGAGUAUGGUAGAGGGUAGUGGAAUUUCCUGUGUAGCGGUGAAAUGCGUAGAUAUAGGAAGGAACACCAGUGGCGAAGGCGACUACCUGGACUGAUACUGACACUGAGGUGCGAAAGCGUGGGGAGCAAACAGGAUUAGAAACCCGGGUAGUCCACGUACCA